GAGCAAGCGUUAUCCGGAUUUACUGGGUGUAAAGGGCGCGCAGGCGGGCCGGCAAGUUGGGAGUGAAAUCCGGGGGCUUAACCCCCGAACUGCUUUCAAAACUGCUGGUCUUGAGUGAUGGAGAGGCAGGCGGAAUUCCGUGUGUAGCGGUGAAAUGCGUAGAUAUACGGAGGAACACCAGUGGCGAAGGCGGCCUGCUGGACAUUAACUGACGCUGAGGCGCGAAAGCGUGGGGAGC
rnacentral:rRNA from 1 species